rnacentral:tRNA from 1 species
GAAGAUAUAGCUUAACUGGUAGAGCGCAUGGCUAGCAUGCACAAGGUCCUGGGUUCAAUCCCCAGUACCUCCU